rnacentral:rRNA from 1 species
AAUUGGGCCGUGCGCUGCUAUACAUGCGAGUCGACGAGCUUCCGUUGAAUGACGUGCUUGCACUGAUUUCAACAAUGAAGCGAGUGGCGAACUGGUGAGUAACACGUGGGAAAUCUGCCCAGAAGCAGGGGAUAACACUUGGAAACAGGUGCUAAUACCGUAUAACAACAAAAUCCGCAUGGAUUUUGUUUGAAAGGUGGCUUCGGCUAUCACUUCUGGAUGAUCCCGCGGCGUAUUAGUUAGUUGGUGAGGUAAAGGCCCACCAAGACGAUGAUACGUAGCCGACCUGAGAGGGUAAUCGGCCACAUUGGGACUGAGACACGGCCCAAACUCCUACGGGAGGCAGCAGUAGGGAAUCUUCCACAAUGGACGAAAGUCUGAUGGAGCAAUGCCGCGUGAGUGAAGAAGGGUUUCGGCUCGUAAAACUCUGUUGUUAAAGAAGAACACCUUUGAGAGUAACUGUUCAAGGGUUGACGGUAUUUAACCAGAAAGCCACGGCUAACUACGUGCCAGCAGCCGCGGUAAUACGUAGGUGGCAAGCGUUGUCCGGAUUUAUUGGGCGUAAAGCGAGCGCAGGCGGUUUUUUAAGUCUGAUGUGAAAGCCUUCGGCUUAACCGGAGAAGUGCAUCGGAAACUGGGAGACUUGAGUGCAGAAGAGGACAGUGGAACUCCAUGUGUAGCGGUGGAAUGCGUAGAUAUAUGGAAGAACACCAGUGGCGAAGGCGGCUGUCUAGUCUGUAACUGACGCUGAGGCUCGAAAGCAUGGGUAGCGAACAGGAUUAGAUACCCUGGUAGUCCAUGCCGUAAACGAUGAGUGCUAAGUGUUGGAGGGUUUCCGCCCUUCAGUGCUGCAGCUAACGCAUUAAGCACUCCGCCUGGGGAGUACGACCGCAAGGGUUGAAACUCAAGGAAUUGACGGGGGCCCGCACAAGCGGUGGAGCAUGUGGUUUAAUUCGAAGCUACGCGGAAGAACCUUACCAGGUCUUGACAUCUUCUGCAAUCUUAGAGAUAGACGUUCCCUUCGGGGACAGAAUGACAGGUGGUGCAUGAUUGUUCGUCAGCUCGGUGUCGUGGAGAUGUUUGGGUUAAGUC